rnacentral:rRNA from 1 species
AGAGUUUGAUCAUGGCUCAGAGCGAACGCUGGCGGCGUGCUUAACACAUGCAAGUCGAGUGCGCGCCCGUAGCAAUACGGGUGGCGCACGGCGCACGGGUGCGUAACACGUGGGUACCUGCCCUUUGAUGGGGAAUAACCCCGCGAAAGCGGGGCUAAUUCCGCAUAAGAUCCGCAAGGAUGAAAGCCGAAAGGCGUCGAAGGAGGGGCCUGCGCACGAUUAGCUAGUUGGCAGGGUAACGGCCUACCAAGGCAAUGAUCGUUAGCUGGUCUGAGAGGAUGGCCAGCCACACUGGAACUGAGACACGGUCCAGACUCCUACGGGAGGCAGCAGUGGGGAAUCUUGCACAAUGGGCGAAAGCCUGAUGCAGCGACGCCGCGUGGGGGAUGAAGCUUCUCGGAGUGUAAACCCCUUUCGACCCGGACGAAUACCUCGCAAGAGGGGUGACGGUACGGGUAUAAGAAGCCCCGGCUAACUACGUGCCAGCAGCCGCGGUAAGACGUGGGGGGCCAGCGUUGCUCGGAAUUACUGGGUGUAAAGGGUCAGUAGGCGGUGUGGCAAGUCGGGAGUGAAAUCUCUGGGCUUAACUCAGAGACUGCUUCCGAAACUGCUGUGCUUGAGUGUGGGAGAGGCGCGUGGAAUUGCAGGUGUAGCGGUGAAAUGCGUAGAUAUCUGCAGGAACACCCGUGGCGAAAGCGGCGCGCUGGACCACAACUGACGCUGAAUGACGAAAGCUAGGGGAGCAAACAGGAUUAGAUACCCCCGUAGUCC